GACGAACGCUGGCGGCGUGCUUAACACAUGCAAGUCGAACGGAAAGGCCCUGCUUUUGUGGGGUGCUCGAGUGGCGAACGGGUGAGUAACACGUGAGUAACCUGCCCUUGACUUUGGGAUAACUUCAGGAAACUGGGGCUAAUACCGGAUAGGAGCUCCUGCUGCAUGGUGGGGGUUGGAAAGUUUCGGCGGUUGGGGAUGGACUCGCGGCUUAUCAGCUUGUUGGUGGGGUAGUGGCUUACCAAGGCUUUGACGGGUAGCCGGCCUGAGAGGGUGACCGGCCACAGUGGGACUGAGAUACGGCCCAGACUCCUACGGGAGGCAGCAGUGGGGAAUAUUGCACAAUGGGCGGAAGCCGGAUGCAGCAACGCCGCGUGCGGGAUGACGGCCUUCGGGUUGUAAACCGCUUUCGCCUGUGACGAAGCGUGAGUGACGGUAAUGGGUAAAGAAGCACCGGCUAACUACGUG
rnacentral:rRNA from 1 species